GCUGUUCGCCAUUUAAAGUGGUACGUGAGCUGGGUUUAAAACGUCGUGAGACAGUUUGGUCCCUAUCUGCCGUGGGCGUUGGAAAUUUGAAGGGGGCUGCUCCUAGUACGAGAGGACCGGAGUGGACAGACCUCUGGUGUACCGGUUGUCACGCCAGUGGCAUUGCCGGGUAGCUAAGUCUGGAAGAGAUAACCGCUGAAAGCAUCUAAGCGGGAAACUUGCCUUAAGAUGAGAUUUCCCAGAGCCUUGAGCUCUUUGAAGGGUCGUUCGAGACCAGGACGUUGAUAGGUCAGGUGUGGAAGUGCAGUAAUGCAUUAAGCUAACUGAUACUAAUUGCCCGUACGGCUUGUCCCUAUAACCUUGACGGUUAUG
rnacentral:rRNA from 1 species